rnacentral:lncRNA from 1 species
UCAAUUUGUUAAAUUCAAUCUCUUAUUUAAUUUAAUUUCUGGCAUUUUCCUUCAAUACAUCUUUGAUGCAGACAGUGGGAACCAUUCCUCUGUGGAAAAAAAAAUACGGCAGCCAUAACAUAACGCUGUGCUGCUGCUUGUUAUGCCAACUUUAUUAUACAUAAUACCAAGAAAACUUUUCAAACCAAAUGCAACAGGUUUAUGCAGCUAUCGUCUAAGCUUCUCACAGAACAAUUUCAAGCUAGGCAAGAGAUAUGAGAGAUUUGGAGAACAAGGAGUUCAGAAAAUAAAGUUUAACCAUGCAGAAAUGGAUUAAUUCAUCACUGUUACUGAGCAGUGUAUAAGCUGGUAUGCUGUUACUAUAAAAAAAAGACUACGUUCACUGCUUAGUUUGUAAAGGACGACAAGAGGAGCGUUGCUGCAGCAUCUCCGAUCCAGUCUUCAACAGUGAGCAGUGCCUAUUUCUAAUCAGCAUAAGUGCCGGAAAGUGACAUAAAACUCAGGCAGUAAGCAGCAAGUGCCAUGCACCUCGAGCGCAAUUAUCAGCCCGGUCUAAGGAUGCCACUAACAGACGGCAGAGGAUUUCACCGGACAAAACCCCCAAAUUUGCCUGCCUUUCGACCCGGCCUCACAAACCCCGAGGUGCGCAGCUGUGCUUCCCUGUCGGAGGAGAAGCGAGGUACAUUCAGCCUGCUCUCAGCCGAUGCAAGGUUUGAAGCAAUGUCUCCAUCUCUGAACAUGAGCAGAAGAAGAAAAUUGAAGCAGUUUUCCAAUCUAGUUACUGGAUCACUGGUGAGGGAAAAGCUGGUAAAACAGAUGAAAGCGUCGUGUGGACUGGACUUGAUCUGUGGACUACCUGUAGAACCCGCAGAACUCAUCAGCAUCCCCUCUACUGCUUAUAUUCUACUUCAUGUAAAGGUUGUUGCUAGUUCUGGAAGAAAAAAACAAGCUUGCAAACAGAAAACCAAUUUGCUUAAAGCUUACCUUACACUGAAAGUUGUGGGCACACGGAGCAGAGCUGAAAUGUGUAAAUUCACAUGUGAAAAAUCCACAAGUCCUCUUCAAUUGCUACCUUACCUUGGUGAUGCUGAACCAUCAACGGCAUGCCGCUCCAAAGGGAAGGGGUGCUGUGAACUAAGCCUGGCAACAAGGCAGGCAGAGGAGUGGCCUUACCAGCAAAGAUGAUGGUACCUGAGCAAAACAAGAAGAGCAGGUCCAAGGGACAGUAAUUAGGAUCAGCCAAAAGACCAGGUUGCUGCAGAAGUUCGUGGGGAUGAGGCAGGUCUGAAGUUGAGUCAAUCCUAAGGGUUGGGUCAGGUUUGGGAUCAACAGGGUGCAUGGCUUGGAUGCAGUGCACCUCGGAUAGCUCCCCUUCUCUUUUUGGCCUGUACAAGGGAAGACUAGCCUCCCAUCUUUAAUAGUUAAACUCACCUGCAGUCCUCGAACAAAACUUAGUACAGAGAUUUGCUCCAUCCCUGGACCACUGGACCGUCUGGGCAUUAGUUCUGCUCCUGAAUUUAAUAUGCUACAAGAGCAAGCCUGGUGAACCUAUUUUAAGGGAUUAUCAGUGAAUAUAUUUCCAUAUAAAUUUUUAAAAGUGUUUUUUUUUUAAGGAUGAUGUAGCCUUCUACAUCUUUAUUAUUGGAAUGUAACAUUUCCAUUGUGAUAUUUUUCUUUUCUGGGUUCAGACCUCUUCAAAAUAAUGAGAAAUCAGAUGGUUCGGGUAACUAAUGCUUGCUUACGUGCUGAGAUAGAUGUUGCUGAAUGUGCUGAAGACAAUAAAAUAAUUAUUUUACUUCUUGUAAGCA